CAGCCUGGGUGACAGAGCGAGACUCCAUCUCAAAAAAAAAAACCACAAAAAAAACAAAAACAAAUAGCUGAUAUUACGAAUUGAAGGAGAGAUGGUGUCUGGAAAUUUUAGAAAGGAACUGAAAUUUUAGUAUUAUACUGCAGGCUCUCCAGAGGUAGGCCAGGGUCACAGCGUGGAGGGUUUGAGAUCUCCCUUCCCAUAUAUUUAGAAAAUGCAGAGAAGUACCAGUCAACUGGGGAGUGUUGAAAAUUUUGAAUAAGAAGUAAUUAAACUUAACUGCCUAUAGUACUCUUAAGAUCUCGGAACUAAGCACAUGGAAAUCAAAUUCAAAUGCUAUUCAUAUAAAUUACUAACUUAUGUGACACUAUGUGGCCUGAGAAAACAAUAAGAAGUUACUAAUUUAUUGGGAAAUGAAAUAUGGGCUUAACCAGGUACAAUUGGUCGAGUAACCUCUGAUUAUACAACCAAAAAAUUUCUGCUAUAUGGUCUGUGAAAAAAGGUAAUUCAAAAAUUUAAGCUGUUGGAACUCCAGAUUAUCUUGAACUUUAAUGUGAUUCUGGAAUUGAGUCACCUGACAGACACCAGAAAGAGCCAGCUGGACCCCUCCCACACCUGAAUACAGAUUAACCUUCCGACAAGCCUCAUUAUAUCCACAUCCUUUAGGAGCUUACACACAGCCACUGAUCCAUCUUCACGUUAAAACAGACAUCAGCCGACUGGAAACGCAGACUCUGUGACAAUAAGAUACCAAAUUACAAACAAGACCUAAGGCCACGCAAGGCAAGAGUUAAGUCAAAUCUUAGAAUUCAUAAAAUCUAAAGAAACAGGUCUUUUGUCUUGGCUGAGGUGAAAUCACAUGACAGAUACCAGACCCUCUUCACUGAAGCAUUCCUUCCUACCUCCUCGAAAUUUUAAACAAAGCUUCACACUCUCCACCAACGGCCACCUACGGAAUCUGUCAACCACCUGCGCCUUCUAAGCCCCCUUCCACACGUCCCGCCCUUUCUGCCAAAGGAACUCACACCUUCCAGGCAAUGCUGCAUAAUUUUCCCUGCAAUUCCUGUCUCCCUGAAAUGAAUAAAAGCAAACUGUCUUGAGCCGCCUCGGGACCACUUACCCCAGGCCUCCUGGGGUUGUGUUUUCCUCAGCCGAGGCCUCUCCUAUUUGGCUCUGAAUAAACUUCUUUAAGUUAUGUUACACAGUUUGGCAUUUUCCGUUAACAAAUUACAAGCCAGGACUGGGUGUUUAUCAUUCAGGAAUCUCAAAGGAACUCUUUAAUUAUUAAUAUACUUUUUAAAAACCCUAUUCUGAGAAGCAAAACUUUUGAAUUGUUAAAGUGUCUCAGUUUAAUUUUUAAGAGGAGAAAGGAGCUACUGGGGACCCCACAGCCCACCCUCCUCCUACAUAAACCCCACACCCGAGGCGGGAUCCCCCAUGACCCUCGCGUGGUCCCCGCACAAUCUGGGGAGACGCGGGGCAGCGGGCGCGGAGCUGCCCAGAGAGAGCUCUGGGAACUGGGUGAUAGUCGCCGCGCAGGGACGGGACGAGACACCCGGGUCCCGGCUGCCGGCCCAGCCCCACCGUGGGGCCAAAGGGACCAAGGGCCAAGCUGUCCCAAGGGAAUUCGGGUCCCAGACCCCGGAGUCGCUGCGGGGAGACCCGGGUCCCAUCACAGCCGGUUCCGGCCGGUUCCAACCUUCCCUGUCUCGGGAACCCUGGCCCGCACGCUCACCAUUUCUUGCUUUCAGGUGACUCUCACGACCAGUGCGGGUCACAGCACAGGCGACAGAAGCUAUGGCAGAGGCACCUGAACCCUCUGGGAAGGGAAAGCCAGGUUCCCAACCUCAGCUCGCCGCCUGGAGGAGAGCAAGGCCUUCGCCCUCCCAGAUGGGCAGUUGGCAGGGCCCCGCCCAGCGCCCCUGAUUGGACGAGGCGCCGGGCCCCGCCCCCUCAGCCGUGAAUGACAGUAGAAGCCCUUGGUAACGGGGCUCUGAGAACCGGUUUGACAGGAUAUAGCGAUAGAUUCUUUAAGCCAGACGUCUGUAACCUUUUUAGCACCAGAACCGGUUUCGUGGAAGACAGUUCUCCUACCGGAGCAGAUAGUUUCGGGAUGAAACUUCCACCUCAGAUCAUCAGGCAUUUGAUCCUCGUUUCUUCCUGAAGGACCUGAAGUCACUUCCUCUACCCAGGUAACGUUUUUCUGCUGACCCCCAAAUUUUAAACAAAGUUGUUCUUCCCUAACCAAUUGCAAAUCAGGAAAUCUUUAAAUCUACCUAUGACCUGUAAGCCCCAGCUUUAAAAUAUCCCACCCUUUCAAGUAUAAACCAAUGAGUAAUCUCCA